UUUGAAAAUAAUGGACAAUGAUGUAAUGAUUAUUACAGAUAUGAUUGCAUAGUCAAAGAACAUCAAGGGACUGAGUUGUC
rnacentral:snoRNA from 1 species